rnacentral:misc_RNA from 1 species
GAUGAAGAACGUAGCGAAAUGCGAUACGUAGUGUGAAUUGCAGAAUUCCGUGAACCAUCGAAUCUUUGAACGCAAAUUGCGCUCGAGGCCUCGGCCAAGAGCAUGUCUGCCUCAGCGUCGGCUUUUCAUCCUCGCACUCAUUUAUUUGUUGUGCGGAUCUGGCAGUCUCAGUCUUCCGACUGGGUCUGUCGAAACGAAGAGGCUAAACUUGUCCUUUCAAAGGCAACAACUUGGUAGGUGGUCUAUGCCGCAUGCCGUUGUUGCUCGGGGCAAGUGAGGCCAAUCCGGCAAUCAGCUUUCGGGCUGGUUCCACUUUCAACUUUCGACCUGAGUUCAGGCAAGAUUACCCGCUGAACUUAAGCAUAUCAAUAAGCGGAGGA